rnacentral:lncRNA from 1 species
GUCGGCGAUCGGAGAUGCCAGGGGGCAGCUGGGACGUGGGCGGUCUGGAGAGGCGCGGGGGCAGCUGAGAUGCCAUGCAGCCCCGAAGCUCCGAAUCCUGGGAUGACUCCUGUCCAUGUUGGAAGGGACCCUGCCAGUCCUGGCAAGGUUCAAAGGCCUUAGGGCAAGAAAUGUUAGUAGAGUCCUGGAAGACGAUGUGGGGAACGGGUAG